CAGCCAUCGCCCCCGCCCCCGCCCCCGCCGCCUCCCAUCGAAGGGCGGAGCCGCUCCUCUCUGCGCUUCCGCCUCGUUUCUUCUCUGUAGAUAGAUGUGGAUUAGUGGCAUGUGAUUUGUUGUGAAACAUCUGAAUUGCCGAUGAUGCUGUGCCCAACAUUUGGAGGUGCAGAUGGCUCUAGGAUCCUGUUUACAGGAUGAACCUACCUGGAGGCGCUGUAUCCACAUGACAUUGAUGGGAAAGUCUGAAUUUCAGAUGAGACUUUUGUUGCUGUUCUCAAUUUGAGUUCUGCUAUUUUUGAACUGAAAACAAGUUGAGUUUAACUAUCCUCUCACAAAUAUCUCUGGUUUGCGGAAGAGGCUGAAAUCAGCUUUGUCUCUUGAUUCUAUGAGACGGGAGUUAAAUAAUGGCACGGGAUUUGCUCAUACAUUCCCUGCCUUAAUCAUCUUGGCAGCAGAACCUGCUGCAAGAUAUCUGAAGAAACAAACUCUGACGUUUGUCUGUUCAGAAUAUCAGUCUUAUUUGCCUUCAACAAAAUCUUAAACACUCAACGAUUUAUUUUAAUUUUACUUUGUAAUAUUUAGAUUUAGCAGCUCUAUCAUCAUUUGUGGUAAAGCUAAGUUGGAUCACAACAAUGAUAAAUGAUCCACCUAUGGUUAGCAUAUCUCCUAACAUGCUGAAUACAAGAACCUCUAUUGGGGUGCCUUCAGGCAUUGAUUUCUCCCAACACCCAGGAAAUCACCAAUAGAUCAUGAACUUGCGAUCUGUUUGUGCUUCAUCAUCUGGUCAUUGGGAUGAUCAGUCUCUUGAGUCUGAUCGGUUCCCACUGGACUCGUUCCCUUGAAGCAAAAGUAUCCUGUUGUAUCCUUGGUUCGCCCCUCUUGUGUGCCCUCUGAGUUUUUUCUCCCAGGGCAACAGCGGCUCUUACAUACAUGCACAUAUGCCCGUCAACAUACUUUCUUGGUAUUUUGAUUUUGACAACCGUGAUGAGCCAAUUUUACAGUUACAGACCUGUAAUGACUCCUGUGGAAAUGAUCGCAUGGUCAAAGAACAUCUAAGGGACUGAGUUGUCUUUGAAUUUUGGAUCUUUGCUGUCAGCAGUUUAGAUGUUGCUGCCUUAUUUUCUAUCUGCUUUUCUUCACUGUAUUUGUGCUUGUAUGUAAACUAAUCCAUAUGGUUCUUGGACAAUGAGAAAAUGUUGAGCAGAAAGCAAACGUUCCUCUCGCUAUCCAGUGUGGAAUUUCUUGUGAUGUGAUUGAACGUUGAGGAAUUAUAUUGAUAUCUCUUUUGAUGAAUUUGAUUGAACUUUGUAUUGUCUUCCAAUUUGAACAACUCUCAACAGAUAUAAAUUGGAACGACAAACAAAGCGUUUGACAAAAGCAGCCUAUCCAGAGAAUGGACUACAUGGUGGUGGUGGAGGAAGGUCCAGAGGAAAGAGGUGUGGUGAUAAUGGAGGGUGGGGUGGUUUACUUACCAACCCUCUGCACUGUUUCCCGUUGCUCUGUAGUCAAAUGGUCUAACCAAAAUUUCCUGUUUCAGAUGUUUUCUCAAAAAAAUUGAGCCUUGAUAUGUUUACAAAAGUUGGCUCUGCUGGCCUCUUCUCUUCUUUUUUCCCCUUGUGAAUUUAUUUAUCUUCCUGUGCAAAUCAAGGGUGGCAAAUGAUGUGAAAUAUGGUAUGCUAAACACUGAAUCUUUGAUAUGUUUACAAAACUCCGCUUAUUAUCUGAUGCCACCCAUCAGUUUCAACUUUCAACCCAGUUUUUGAAGAGGUUAGCUGCGUUGAUGCCAUCAUACCUGUGUUUCUGAUUAAUUCAUGAAGUACAAGGGGAAAUAUGGUUGAAUUUCUUAAUAUGAGCCAUAAGAAUGUUAAUUCUUAUUUUUGCGCUCUUUAGAUUUGUGUUUUCUGGUUUGAUAUGGUGGUGACGAAAAACACUUUCAGCAAACAUGCCAGUUCUGCUUCUGAGAAUUCAUGACUGACAAACCUGUUAUAUUGAUCUUGACCCAUUGCAAUUGAUAAAAGCUGUGUACGGAAAUAACUGGAACAUUCUAAUGGUGCAGUUGUUUUGGGAAGUUAUUUGAACCUAAUCAGAGAGAUGGUUUACAAAAACAAUUUUGAUGUGCACUAUCCCAGUGGUGAUAUCUAGAAAUUCAUGAUUAAUAUAGCUGUUAAACCUUUGUAUCUUGCAUGUGUUCUUGUUGAUCCUAAUUUUUUCUGAAAUGCCAGUGAUGCUAUGCCCAACAUCUGGAGGUGCAGAUGGCUCCAGGAUCCUGUGUACUAUCCCAGUGACGACUUAUUCUUUUUAAGUGAUAAAAUUAAGCCUCUGUGUAUCAAAUGAUGAGAGAAUACUGCAACAAUAUGAUCCAUGAUCUGAUUCUUAGUAUUUAAGUCUCUGAUGAUCACUUUGCCAAAAAAAAAUUCUCUCUUGUUCUUUUUUCUAAAAGUUGAUCCUCAUGGGGUGUGAUGAAGAAAAGUUGGUCCGUGUUUCUGAUGUCCUGUGACUGAUAACCAUCUUUAAUUUCCUUCUGAUCCCUCGUGCAAGUGCAUCUUUGUUCAUCCAUUUUUUUAUUGUCUUUUUAGAUGUUUUCUUGUAUUUGCCUAGUUUUGUGGCAUUGCGUUGAUGAACUGUGAAUUUUCGCAUGUCAGACUUCAGAGAUGCCUCUGGCGUCAAUGAGAAAAGUCAUUUCAUAUUACUGAGCAAUGAAAUACCAUCUGUAAUGUUUCAGGACUGCCUCACCCUUGUCCUUGUUCCUUGCAACCGUGAUUCUUAGUAUUUAAGUCUCUGAUGAUCACUUUGCCAAAGUUAUGUUUUUUUUGUCUCGUGUUUUCUUUCCAAAAGUGGAUCUUUUGUCGGAUGUGAUGAAAAGUUGGCCCGUGUUUCUGAUAAUACUAAGUCUUUGUGUAUCAAAUGAUGAGAGAAUACUGCAACAAUAUGAUCCAUGAUCUGAUUCUUAGUAUUUAAGUCUCUGAUGAUCACUUCGCCAAAUUUUCUUAUUUUCUCUAUUGUUUUUUGUUACGAAUAGUUUUUCUUCAUUGGGUGUGAUGAAGAAAAGUUGUUCUGUGUUUCUGAUGUCCAGUGACUGAUAACCAUCUUUAAUUUCCUUCUGAUUCCUCGUGCAAGUGCAUCUUCGUUCAUCCGUUUUUCUUGUAAUUGUCUUUUUAGAUGUUUUCUUGUAUUUGCCUAGUUUUGUUGCAUUGCAUUGAUGAAUUAUGAAUUUUCGCAUGUCAGACUUCAGAGAUGCCUUUGGUGUCAAUGAGAGUAAUUUCAUAUGACUGAGCAAUGAAAUACCAUUUGUAAUGUUUCGGGACUGCCUCACCCUUGCAACCAUGAUUCUUAGUACUCCCUCUGUUCCUAAAUAUAAGUCUUUUAAGGGAUUUCAAAAUGGACUACAUACGGAUGUAUAUAGACAUAUUUUGCCGUAUUUAGUCCAUAUUGGAAUCUCUAGAAAGACUUGUAUUUCGAACGGAGGGAGUAUUUAAGUCUCUGAUGAUUACUUUUGCCAAAUUUCUUUUUUCUCUCUCUUGUGUUUUGUGUGCAAAAGUAUAUCUUUGUGGGAUAUGAUGAAGAAAAGUUGGUCUGUGUUUCUGAUGUCCAGUGACUGAUAACCAUCUUUAAUUUCCUUCUGAUCCCUCUGCAAGUGCAUCUUCGUUCAUCCAUUUUUCUUGUAAUUGUCUUUUUAGAUGUUUUCUUGUAUUUGCCUAGUUUUGUGGCAUUGCUAUGAUUAAUUAUGAAUUUUCGCAUGUCAGACUUCAGAGAUGCCUCUGGCUUCAAUGAGAAGUCAUAUCAUAUGACUCAGCAAUUAAAUACCAUCUGUAAUGUUUUGUUACUGUGUCCUUGCUACUGUGGUUGCUUUUGCAAUUUGUAUUGAUGGAAGGACUUUCAUACGCCCUGCAAUAAAGUAGAGUUUGCACAAUUGACGAAAAUAACAAAAAAUUGAUGUACAUAUUAUUGUUUCACAUAUAUGAAGCUACAUGUAGCACUGCUCCUCAGAAAAUUUUUGGUUGUGAGGUCCCUUUCCCAAAUUAUGGACUAUAUGAUUAUACUGUGUGCAACUGUAAUUUUUGUUUAGAGGAUUCAAAUCCAAAAGUAUGAUCCACCUUGCUUUGUUUCAUUCUAUUUAAUAUUCCUUUUUGGAUUUUCAUUUCUUAGAAGUUGAAUGGGGAUCCUUUCCCCCAAAUUCGACUACUGGGCGCCCAUGUAAUACACCAGAGGGUUCCAAGGCAUUUGAAUUAUAGGGUUACAUUUACUCUGAAUUUUGGGUGCUUCGUCAUCUGGUCUCAACUUGUGAUUUGUUUGUGCUUCGUCAUCUGGUCAUUGGGAUGAUCAGUCUCUUGAGUCUGAUCGGUUCCCAAUGGACUCGUUCCCUUGAAGCAACAUCACCCUGUUGUAUCCUGAGUUCGCCCCUCUUGUGUGCCCUCCGAGUUCUCUCCCCGGGCACUGGCGGCUUUUACAUACAUGUACAUGUCACACACACAAAAUCCCUGUUGAUACUCUCUUGGCGUUUUGAUUGUGACAACCGUGAUGAGCCCAUUUUACAGUUACAGACCUGUAAUGACUCCUGCGGAAAUGAUCGCAUGGUCAAAGAACAUCUAAGGGGCUGAGUUGUCUUUUUAUGUUGAAUCUUUGCUGCCAGUGGUCGGACCCCCCGGACCCUGCAAGCGGGAGCUACAUGCACCAGGCAUCUUUCCUGCCAGUAGUUUAGAUAUUGCUGUGUUUGUUUUGAUUGCUUCUCUUAACAAUUUUUGUGCCUGUAAACUAAUCUCCGUAUUUUCUGGUUUGAUAUGGUGGUGGUGAUAAACAUUUUCAGCAAACAUGCCAGUUCUGCUUCUGAGAAUUCAUGACUGAAAAACCUGUUAUAUUGAUCUGAGCCAUUGCAAUUGACAAAAGCUGUGUCUUCCCAGCGGUGAUACCUGGAAAAUCAUGAUUAAUGUUUCUGUUAAACCUGUGUAUCUUCCAUGUGUUCUUGAUCUAAAUUAGGAGCUUGUAAUUUGUUCUUAAAAUUGUCUGAAAUCCCGAUGAUGUUAUGCCCAACAUUUAGAGGUGCAUAUGGCUCCAGGAUCCUGUUUACAGGAUGAACCUACCUGGAGGUGCUGUAUCCACAUGACAUCCACCGGCAAGUCUGAGGUUCUUGAUGAUCACAUCGAACUUUUCUUGCGGUUUUCAAGUUGACCUCUGUUUUUUUAACUGAUAAAACUAACAUCAUUGCUGAGUUUAACUAUCCUCUCACAAGUUUGUCUGAUUUGCUGAGUCUAUAUGCCUAGUAUCUCUGAUGUAGUUUCUUGUAAUUGUCUUCUUAGAUGUUUUCUCAUAUUGACUUGUUUUGUGCCAUUGCGGUGAUGUAGCUUCUUGUAAAAUGUAAAUGUAGAUGUGAUUGCGUUUAGCUAUCUCUGAGGCUGAGUUAAAACAUAUUUAAUUUUUGGUUUAAUCAAUGAGAGAUAGAUGAUGAAUGAGAUUAAUUUCCCUAUUGGUUUGAUUGGCCGAUAUGAUGGCCUCAAUACUGAACCAAAUCUGACCUCACUCUUUUUGACAUUUUACUUGACUUUGUUCUUCGUACAGUAUUACUCCCUCUGUAAACUAAUAUAAGAGUGUUUAGGUCACUACUUUAGUAUUCUAAACACUCUUAUAUUAGUUUACGGAGGGAGUAUAAUUUAUUCAAUAGAUUAGUUUCUAAUUUAAUAGGCAUAUAUCAGAUUAUGAGAUUAUUAUCUAAAACCCUGAGCUGUGUUGCAAGAGCUGUCAUUCUUUGCCCAUCUGUCAUUCUUCGGUGAGCAUUGUUGAUGCAAAUGAUGAGACAGAAGUUUUAUGGGUAAUUUGCGUCUGAGGCAUCUCUGUGAUAUUACACUCUUUUCACCUUGGAGAUCUGAUGCAUCCUGUAUAAUAUUCUCACCCUUUGUUUUUCCCUAAUUUGAUUCUCGUGGGUGAAAUGAGGAUUAAAUAAUUUUAUUGAUGGACGGUAUGAUGUCCAUUGAAUCAUGUAUUAGCUCUAUCUGAUCAUUCUCUACUGAGUUUUGUUCUUUCAAUUUUAAGAAUUUCUUCUUUGUUGUUUGAACGCCUGUUGUUGAUGCAAAUGUGGAAACACGAGUUUAUGGGUAAUUUGUGUCUGAGGCAUUUCUUUGAUGUCACUCUUUCACCUUGGAGAUCUGAUGCAUCCUGCCUCCCUUUUGCGUUCAAAAUAAUAUUUGUUUUUUGUUUUAAUGAGAUGAGAUGAUGAAUGAGAUUAAUUUCCCUAUUGGUUUGAUCGGCUGAUAUGAUGGCCUAAAGUACUGAACCGAAUCUGAUCAUCUUCUUGCUUCCUAGAAAAAAUCGAGCAGUUUGCGAAGUCACUUGCCUUCAAAAUGAAACGAAAGGGACAGUCUACCUCUCCCUUCCCUUUAAAAAAAGUUUGCCCGUUGUUUGACUCACUUAAUACUCAAUUUUUGGAGCUCUGUUGCCUUGCCUUGUCAUAUUUGCGGUUGUUUGUUCUAUGUAGAGUAAUAUCAUCUAUUAAUUUUCUAAUUCAAUCUGUGGAAGUGAGAUGAUGAAUGAUUAAUUUCUUGAUUGACCCGCAUGAUGGCCUAAAUACUGAACCGAGUCUGAUCAUCAUCUCUUUCUUUUCUUGAUGUUCUUUUGAAAUCUUGUUUUAUCAAGUUGUUUGCUGUUUCUGGGAGGAGUAUUAUUGAUGCGAAUGAUGGACACAAGUUUUAUGGGUAAUUUGCGUCUGAGGCAUUUCUGUGAUGUCACACCCUUUUCACCUUGGAGAUCUGAUGCAUCAAGCUCACUUACGCUGUGUUCUUCCUUUGUGUUUCCUUUAUAUGUCUAGAUCGAUCUUGGGUUAUGCUUGCCCCCAAAUUCCAGUUUAUCCUAUGUGCUUCUGUAAUUUGUGAUGCCCUUUUAUCUAGUUUAAUUCAAGUUCUUGUGGUACUGAUUUAAGUUGAACCUUUGCUGGUGCAGUGAUUAUAAAACAUUCCUCAUACUGAUGGGAGGUCCCUGUGAACGACUCCUAUACACCCAUAGAAUCAGAGCACCAACAAUAUGGUUUCAUUAGAUUCUUCCUUUUUGUGGUUAUUCGUCCUGAGAUUGUUUUGUGCUUGUACUCCAAACUAAUGUUUAUAAGAAUUCUGUCAUAUAUCACCACCAUACUCUGAUUCCAUAGUCUUUUUGUUUGUCUGUGCCGAGGAUUAAACUAAUUUAUAGACAAGCAUAUGUCUGAAUUCUUGUCAUGUGGAGCGAUCUAAUCUUCUCUAUGAGGCCAAUCUUAUUCAUUUUUUUAUCUGCAGUUUUAUUUGAUGUGUUCUGAUGUUGUGUGAUGCUGCUAAUGAUUAGCGUGAACUUUUCUCAAUGAAAUCACUAAUGAUUACAUAACCUACUGACUUCCUUCUUAGGCAUCAUGAAUCCUGGAAUUCUUCUGUGUUUUUUUCUGUUAAUUCGUUUUGGUUUUCCUGUUGAUUCAGUGGUUUGCCCAGGUCGAAUGAUGAUCACAAGUGCAUAGUUCAUAUGAUCAAAUCGUGAUUACUUGAACAGAAAAUAGUCUUUCGCUCCUAUCUGAUGACCUUUCAUCCUCACCCUUUUCAGGAGAAUCAAACAAUAGUUUUUUCGUCUUUUUUGCAUUUACAUGUAGAACCCUACAUUAUUAUGGUGUAGAUGUAUAGAUUCCUUAGAGGACAGUGAAGAUUGAUAUUUGGUCUCGUUCGUUGUAAAUGGCAUUUACUUGCCUUGCCGACCAUCCUGCUAUAUCACCACCCAUAUUCUGAGUACUAUCUUGGGUUUUCAUGUUAAAUUUUUUUGUAUUUAGCUUAUGAUGAUUAAACUAAACUAAAUAGAGAAGCAAUUUUAUCUGCUUAUUAAAUAUGUUGAAUUUUUGUACAAUAAAUAUGAUCUUCCAGAUGUGAUUAACAGUUGCCACGUUUUCAAUGAGUUCCUAUUUGUUUGCUUUUGAGAUAUCUUCUCUUGUUGUUGUGAUCUGUUCACUAAUUUUCUAAAUUAUCUUUUUGGGAUUAGUUUCUUCAUAUCACUUUAAACUUUGAUUACGAAUGCACAACAGAUACUUUGAUGCUUGCAAUGAUUUUCCAAACCAGUUUGAGGAUGAUGAUUUCAUAUUUGUCGCUCCAGUCUUAGGGUCUGCAUUGCUGGAUCUGUGCUGAUUGACAUACUUCUGAAUCUGACUUGUAGAUGGUGAUAUCAUAUAUGCGCUCUGUUAGUCAUCUUCUCUAGUUGGUUGAUUUUUCUUUGCAGACUUGGUUCUUUUUCUUUGGUGAUGGCAGUGACGAUUUGCAAAUAUUCAAGCUCAACAGACCUAAUCACAGAUUUUCUCUCCGGAGUUGAUUGUUAUGCCGAUUACCCCGCUGAACCGAGCCAUCUGAUACCUGAUUUUGUUUUUCUGUGGUUCAUUGUUCUUUUAUCUCAAUGUAUCUUUUGUGUUUGAUUUUCUUUUUUUCUUUUGGGGGAUGUAGUUGCGAUGAGGAUAAUAAGCUCCCUCUUCUGAAAGCAUUGACGACAACUCUGUAUCUUCGAACAAUCUCUCUUGGCUGUUAUUGAUCAUUUGCUUCUUCUUACCUUCCAGUCUACAGUAUCUGUUUGCAUUGUUAGGAGUUAUUGAUGCAUAGUUCUAAUCUUUGUACUCCCUCCGGCCGGGUUUAUUAGGCCCCCUUUCAUUUUGAGCCAAAGUUUGACCAUGAAUUUUAACUAAUAAAAUAUAAAAUACAUGUCACAAAAAGUAUACCAUAUGAAACCUCUUUCAAAUACAAAUUCAAUAAUAUACUUUUUGUAGCAUAAACUUUAUAUAUUUUUAGUUAAAUACAUGGUCAAAGUUGAACCCAAAAUGAAAGGGGGCCUAAUAAACCCGGGCGGAGGUAGUAGUUGUCAGUGGAUGAAACCUUGAAUCUUGGCAUCUGAACCCAUCAGCUUUUUGUUUAUUUCGUUAAGUGUCCGUGGAUGAAACCUUGAAUACAAUCUUUGGACACUUUCUGCCACAGUGCUUAUUUCUCCUGUGAAAGCAUUUACAUUCUGAUUAUAGACCUUUAAUUUUUUAACCACAACAACCGUUGGCCAAUCUUGUCUUCCAAAUUGGAUACAGAAUGCAAUUACCAUUAUAUCCAGAUGAUGAUAUUUUUGCUGCUUUCUGAGGUUUAAAACAGCUCAGGUCUUUUGCUUUUCUAUGUUGUAAACAGCAGCCACUAAUCGUUACUGAUAGUGUCCUCCUCUGGGUUUGCUCUUUACUGGAAUCUCUGUUUGCAUCUGGUUUGAUUCAGGUUAUUGUGUUAUUUAAGUUGGUCCCUGAGGGGAUUCCUUUUGACCUUUGAUUGAUCGGUUGAUGUCUUUGUUUCAUGCUUAUUAUGCAAUAUGAUUUCAUCAACUGGGGAAAUGAUAUGGCACUGAUGAUAAAUUUAAGGCUUGUUUCUCAAAACAUUCGCAAUUGCCGCCUAAGAGCUUUCGCCCAGCCAGGCUUGAGAGCUAAUGCUGCUAAUUCCUUCCUUGGAUGUCUGAGCCUUGUUAACAUCCCCAUUGUUAUCAUUGUUUCUAUUUUGGUUUGUUGUCUAAAUUCCUUGUUUUUUUGCAUUGCGCAAAUGUUGACAGUUGCUGCCAAAAGUUUUUGCCCUACCAUAUUUGAGAGCUAAUAUUGCUAGAUCCUUCCUUUGAAUCUCUUAAGGCCCUUAAGCCUUCAAUGUUGAAAUUUUCUUAAAAACAUUGAUACUUGGUGCUCUGAUUUUGACAACUGUGAUGAGCCAAUUUUACAGUUACAGACCUGUAAUGACUCCUGCGGAAAUGAUCGCAUGGUCAAAGAACAUCUAAGGGACUGAGUUGUCUUUGUAUUUUGGAUCUUUGCUGUCUUGCUUCUAUUAAUGGUAUUCAAGCCUGUAAACUAAUAUCUAUGGUUCCCGGGCAAUGAGAAGAUAGUAAGCAGAAAGCAACCGCAGUCCAGCGCAGAACUUCUGACGUGAAUAGAUGAAGGAACUGUAUUGCUUUCUCUUUUGAUGAAUUUGACUGAAUCAUAACAACAAACAUGCAGUACGAUGGGAUGGGAUGUUAAAAGCAUGUAAAUGUCAAACUAUGGCUUAGCUUCUAUUUCUCAUUCCAAGUUGUUAUAACUGACAAACGAACCGCCGUUCUGGAAGUGCCCUGGCCUUAUUUGAACAAUUCAAACCACAACUCUGGAGAAGCGCAACAAGGAUAUGGAAGUUUGAUUUAUGAAACCAGGAAACCACGCCUCUUUACAAGAAGGUAGGUUCGGAAAAAUAGAGCCAGUCCUUGUAGUCUAAGCAUGGAUCGACCGUGGUGGCAGAGAAGGAAGGUCCCGAGGCUGAUGGUGUGGUGAUAGUAGAGGGAGGAGUGAUCCUUGUAUCUCCAGUUUUUUGCUCGACUGAGGUCUGACGGGGACGCUCAAUGAAAAAUUCCAUGUCUCCUUUUUUUUCCCUUGUGAAUUCAUUAAUCUUGCUGUGCAAAGGUGUCAAAUGAUGUAAAAUAUGAAGUAGCUGGUUCCCUUUGAAGUUUGGUAUGUUUACAGAACUCUGCUUAUAAUCUGAACGAAGUGCUUAUCUGCGCAACCGUUGUACAA